rnacentral:rRNA from 1 species
GAUGAACGCUAGCUACAGGCUUAACACAUGCAAGUCGCGGGGCAGCAUGGGGGUUGCUUGCAAUCCCCGAUGGCGACCGGCGCACGGGUGAGUAACGCGUAUCCAACCUGCCCUUCACCACGGGAUAACCCGGCGAAAGUCGGAUUAAUACCGUAUGUUGUCCAUUGACGGCAUCCGAUUUGGACGAAAGGUUUGGCGGUGAAGGAUGGGGAUGCGUCCGAUUAGCUGGACGGCGGGGUGACGGCCCACCGUGGCGACGAUCGGUAGGGGUUCUGAGAGGAAGGUCCCCCACACUGGAACUGAGACACGGUCCAGACUCCUACGGGAGGCAGCAGUGAGGAAUAUUGGUCAAUGGGCGUAAGCCUGAACCAGCCAAGUAGCGUGCAGGAUGACGGCCCUAUGGGUUGUAAACUGCUUUUAUGCGGGGAUAAAGUGGCCCACGUGUGGGUUUUUGCAGGUACCGCAUGAAUAAGGACCGGCUAAUUCCGUG